rnacentral:rRNA from 1 species
AACGUAGGAGACAAACGUUAUCCGGAGUUACUGGGCGUAAAGGGCGUGUAGGCGGUUUGUUAAGUCUGGCGUGAAAGCUCUCGGCUAAACCGGGAGAGGUCGUUGGAUACUGGCAAACUAGAGGAUGGUAGAGGCGUGUGGAAUUCCGGGUGUAGUGGUGAAAUGCGUAGAGAUCCGGAGGAACACCAGUGGCGAAGGCGGUUCUCUGGGACGGUACUGACGCUGAGACGCGAAAGCGUGGGGAGCGAACAGG